GACACGGCUCUGUGACUCUGGAGCUGCUUCGAUAGUAAAGCAAGCGGGUAGACACCAUACGACAGGUUUCCAGUUAUUGAAAUGUCACUCUUGUGUAGCAGUUUGUGUCAAGAAAACUGAGCACGUACGUAGCUACCAGCCUCGCAUGGAAGCACGGGCAUGGUGGCUCUAUCCGAGCCUCUGAGAGCGAGCGCCCUGGGCGCUACGUUAGCAUCGGUUCUUGAGUCCCGAUCCCGGGCCCCGUGCACAUUUGGCUAGCCUUUCCUGCUAGCCGGUCCCAUUUGAUUAGCUGUGCGCCUGUCACCACGCCUCGGCUUCCUUCGCGGCCCGUGAUGACCUUGCCAAAGCAGUUCACAGUGAGCAAGAGACUGUUAGAAGGUGAAGAUCGGGUGUUCAGAACUCCUGCUGUAAAAACUGGAUUCUGAGUUUCCGCUGUUUUAGAACAGAACAGGGCAUCGGCCCUGGCCCUGCGAUCGCUUGCAGAGGAAGCUUUGACUUGGCCAUGGCUGCGAGCCUGCUAUCUUAUCCGCUGAGAAGCGUGCCUCACUUGUCUAAUGGUAUCAGUAUAAGCCAUCAAAAACACCAGGCUGCUGGGCAGAAUUUUUUUUAAGAAUCAAAAUGUAGGAAACCUUUUUAAGGCUAGAAGAAAACAUGACAAUUCUGUUUAAUUUUAGGGGUAAGUACACUCCUCUCCCUCAACAACCGACAAAACAUCCAAGUAGAAAAUAACUACCAGGUAUAAAGAUUGGCCUGGCUGCGUAUUUCUUCUCCGUUCUAGGGGCAGAGGGAUAAACAACACUAAGCGCUUUUUCAGUAGGCGUGGCACUGUUCCAGCCAGAAAGCAGCGCUGUCACUUCACAGCCAGAGGCAGGAGGAAAGGAAGCAGGCCAGCAGCUGAGCAGGAGGAAAGGAAGCAGGCCAGCAGCUGAGCCGUCACGUAGCAGGGAGGCCCCGGUUGCACAACCCAUGAGUUUGAUGGUCACCAUUUUUAUUUUUUUACCAUGAUUUCCAAUUUCUUAAUGAUUUCCAUUUUGACAUGACUCUUUCAUAACUAGACUAUGACCAGUCUAGUUCACACAUAUAUGCCUCUCGUGAGUCUCCCUCGUUGUGCCAGUGUCCUUAGCAAGCUCUCUCUCUGCCCCCCAGUCUCCUGCUUGCACACCCCAGACCCGGUGCACAGCUAUCAAAGGGGAACAGCAUGGGCACCCUAUUAAGGAGAUGUGUACUGUCAGCGCUUUGGUUGACUUUUCUAAUGACUCAUAAGAAAAUAAUGUGGAUAAAAUUACACGUUCAAAGUUCGAUUUUAUUUCAAAAUGAUAAAUAAACCGGCAUAGUUCUGACUCUGUACUAUUUCAGAAAGGCUUGUGAAGUUCAUUAACAGUUUAGAGAGGGCUCCAGUCAGACCAGAAGGUUGCCAAUCAAACUUGUGAUUGGCAGAGACAGCAGCCUCUUUGAUCUUCAGAGGUUUGUAAAAGCUCUCCACCCUAAUUUCUGUGUAUCAUAAAAAGUAAAAAGCACUUUUAUUCU
rnacentral:lncRNA from 1 species